GACAGUAUCUGAAGGGGUCCUUGAAUUUGGGAUAGAUACAAUAUCAUAUUGAUUGCGCAUUUCAACUAUUUUAGUUGAGAUCUCACCUCUAUAAAGUACUCUGAGAUACACAUAAAGCUCAUAGCAUAGUUGGUAGAGUAAGAAUUGGAUAUACAUGUUAGAAAGAGCAGAAAACUUUCCAACGUAUGCUUGUUAUUCUAUUGAACAUUGCGUAGCACCAUGCUUACUAGUGAAAUAUUAAUGCACUGCCUUUUUUCUAAACAACAC
rnacentral:lncRNA from 1 species